GACGAACGCUGGCGGCGUGCUUAACACAUGCAAGUCGAACGGAAAGGCCCUGCUUGCAGGGUACUCGAGUGGCGAACGGGUGAGUAACACGUGGGUGAUCUGCCCUGCACUUCGGGAUAAGCUUGGGAAACUGGGUCUAAUACCGGAUAGGAGCCAUCUUUAGUGUGGGGGUUGGAAAGUUUUUUCGGUGUAGGAUGAGCUGGCGGCCUAUCAGCUUGUUGGUGGGGUAAUGGCCUACCAAGGCGGCGACGGGUAGCCGGCCUGAGAGGGUGUACGGCCACAUUGGGACUGAGAUACGGCCCAGACUCCUACGGGAGGCAGCAGUGGGGAAUAUUGCACAAUGGGCGCAAGACUGAUGCAGCGACGCCGCGUGGGGGAUGAAGGACUUCGGGUUGUAAACUCCUUUCGCUAGGGACGAAGCUUUUUGUGACGGUACCUAGAUAAGAAGCACCGGCUAACUACGUG
rnacentral:rRNA from 1 species